rnacentral:tRNA from 1 species
UUGUGUAGAAGUAAAUAUUACGGUUAAUUUCGGCUUAACGAUUGGGACUAAGGUCUUCACACAAU